GUGAUGGGGAGCGAAAUUUAGUAGCGAAGUAGCUGAUUUCACACUGUCAAGAAAAGUCUCUAUCGAGGUUAAAGGUACCCGUACCGCAAACCGACACAGGUGGGUGAGGAGAGUAUCCUAAGGCCAGCGAGAGAACUGUUGUUAAGGAACUCGGCAAAAUGACCCCGUAACUUAGGGAUAAGGGGUGCCACCAUCAGGUGGCCGCAGAGAAUAGGCCCAAGCGACUGUUUACCAAAAACAUAGGUUUCUGCUAAGUCGCAAGACGAUGUAUAGGAGCUGACGCCUGCCCGGUGGUUAAGGGGAUCUGUUAGAGCAAUCGAAGCAGUGAACUUAAGCCCCAGUAAACGGCGGCCGUAACUAUAACGGUCCUAAGGUAGCGAAAUUCCUUGUCGGGUAAGUUCCGACCCGCACGAAAGGCGUAACGAUUUGGGCACUGUCUCAACAACAGACUCGGUGAAAUUGUAAUUCCGGUGAAGAUGCCGGAUACCUGCGACAGGACGGAAAGACCCCAUGGAGCUUUACUGUAGCUUGACAUUGGGUCUUGGUACUACAUGUACAGGAUAGGUGGGAGGCUUUGAAACCAGGACGCCAGUUUUGGCGGAGCCAUCCUUGGGAUACCACCCUUGUAGUACUGGGACUCUAACCAUAGGCCAUGAAUCUGGUCUUGGGACACUGUCAGGUGGGCAGUUUGACUGGGGCGGUCGCCUCCCAAAAGGUAACGGAGGCGCUCAAAGGUUCUCUCAGUACGGUCGGAAAUCGUACGUAGAGUGUAAAGGCAAAAGAGAGCUUGAUUGCAAGACAUACAGGUCGAGCAAGGAUGAAAAUCGGACUUAGUGAUCCGGUGGUUCUGCGUGGAAGGGCCAUCGCUCAACGGAUAAAAGCUACCCUGGGGAUAACAGGCUUAUCUCCCCCAAGAGUCCACAUCGACGGGGAGGUUUGGCACCUCGAUGUCGGCUCAUCACAUCCUGGGGCUGUAGUAGGUCCCAAGGGUUGGGCUGUUCGCCCAUUAAAGUGGUACGCGAGCUGGGUUCAGAACGUCGUGAGACAGUUCGGUCCCUAUCCGUCGCAGGCGUAGGAAAUUUGAGAAGACCUGUCCUUAGUACGAGAGGACCGGGAUGGACGUACCUCUGGUGUACCAGUUGU
rnacentral:rRNA from 1 species